UACAUGUGGGGCAAGCGUUGUUCGGAAUUACUGGGCAUAAAGGGUGCGUAGGCGGCAUGCCACGUCAGGGGUGAAAGGUUUCGGCCCAACCGGGACAGUGCCUUUGAUACUGGCGUGCUUGAGUGCGUGAGGGGUGACUGGAACGAGUGGUGUAGCGGUGAAAUGCGUAGAUAUCACUCGGAAGGCCAACGGCGAAGGCAGGUCACUGGUACGCAACUGACGCUGAGGCACGAAAGCGUGGGGAGCAAACAGG
rnacentral:rRNA from 1 species